rnacentral:lncRNA from 1 species
GGAUGAGGACACACUUCAGGACCCAGCCCCACUGGAGACACCAAUGAAUGCAUCCAGUUCCCAUUCGUGUGCCCUCGAGACAAGCCCGUAUGUGUCAACACCUAUGGAAGCUACAGGUGCCGGACCAACAAGAAGUGCAGUCGGGGCUACGAGCCCAACGAGGAUGGCACAGCCUGCGUGGAAAGAACCUUGCUACUUGGUCUCUGCAAUCUCCUUGGAAAAUAGAAUGCUCCUGUAGCCAGAACACUCUUUGGAAAUGAUGUAACGCCACAGAAUAUGCUCACGACCAGCCUCAGUAGUGAAGGCUUGUUAUAAAACAUAGAUCUAUUCUUCAUGGGGAAAAAAAGUCAUCCCAGGAUAUAAUAAAAUUACACUUAAGAAUGCAGCAACCCUUUUAAAAACAUAUUCAACAAAAAAAAAGCCCCUGCCAUUUUCUGAUAUCAUGGUAAUACUCCUAAUAAAUCACAAAAUAUG